rnacentral:rRNA from 1 species
AUUGAACGCUGGCGGCAGGCCUAACACAUGCAAGUCGAACGAGUGGCGGACGGGUGAGUAAUGUCUGGGAAACUGCCUGAUGGAGGGGGAUAACUACUGGAAACGGUAGCUAAUACCGCAUACCAUCGGAGGUGCCCAGAUGGGAGUAGCUAGUAGGUGGGGUAAAGGCUCACCUAGGCGACGAUCCCUAGCUGGUCUGAGAGGAUGACCAGCCACACGGGAACGGAGACACGGUCCAGACGCCUACGGGAGGAAGCAGUGGGGAAUAUUGGACAAUGGGCGAAAGGCUGAUGCAGCCAUGCCGCGUGUGUGAAGAAGGCCUGCGGGUUGUAAAGUACUUUAAGCGGGGAGGCGUUACCCGCAGAAGAAGCACCGGCUAACUCCGUGCCAGCAGCCGCGGUAAUAC